UACAGAGGUCUCAAGCGUUGUUCGGAUUCAUUGGGCGUAAAGGGCGCGUAGGCGGCUUGGCAAGUGGAAGGUGAAAUCCCUCGGCUUAACCGAGGAACUGCCCUCCAAACUGCUUUGCUUGAGGCCGGGAGAGGUGAGUGGAAUUCCCAGUGUAGCGGUGAAAUGCGCAGAUAUCAGGAAGAACACCCGUGCUAAGGCGGCUCUCUAGUACGGUACUGACGCUGAGACGCGAAAGCGUGGGGAGGCGAACAGG
rnacentral:rRNA from 1 species